UGGAUUGUAGUUUAAUCGGAUAAAACUUCGCUCUGUGAAUGCGAAAACUGCGAGUUCAAUUCUCGUCAAUCCACCCA
rnacentral:tRNA from 1 species